GCUGGCAUGGUGGUGUGCACCUGUAGUCCCAGAUACUCAGAAGGCUGAAGUGGGAGAAUUGUUUGAGCCAGGAGUUCUGGGCUGUAGUGUGCUAUGCUGAUGAGGUAUCUGCACUGUUUGGCAUCAAUAUGGUGAUCUCCCAGGGUCAAGGGACAACCAGGUUGCCUAAGAAGGGGUAAUGGGCCUGGGUCAUAAAUAGAGCAGGUCAAAACUGAUUAGCAGGUAGUGAUCAGUAGUGGGCUCACAUCUGUGAAUAGCUACUGCAUUUCAGCCUGGGCAACACAGUGAGACCUCAUCUCU
rnacentral:SRP_RNA from 1 species